ACAAAUUCGUUGAUGAGAAAGAGUAGUGUUACAUUUUGUUCUACAGAGAGCUGACAGUUUGGUGGAAGUCGGUGUGCAAAUGUUACAUGAAGAUCCUCUCUGAGAAGGUUAGCUGAAGCUUCAGUAGGCUAAUUCGGGUGUCUACCGUUAAAAAGAACACGUAUGAUUGUACGUUGCUGAGUGCUAUUGAGCGUUUUUCAAUAGAAUUAGGGUGGUAUUCGCGGUUAACCCCGUCCCUUAC
rnacentral:ncRNA from 1 species